rnacentral:lncRNA from 1 species
ACCCCUGACCAAACCCACUUUUCCCCUCUACAACACCCUGAUCUUGGAGUUUGGGCUGCAGAGCUGGAGGUUUGCCGAAAAGCAGCGUUGAGGAGCAGCAUCCUGGUGUCAGAGCUCAGAGGUGCUCGCACCACUUGGUGUUCCCCCGUGAAACAGCAGAGGAGAGUGCAUCAAGUUCCCGUCUCUUCUUCCAGCAGAAGCUGCCUGGAGAGCGGUAAUGAGCUGCCCUGGCAGCACUACAAAGGGCUCCGCAGGAGCAGGUACGCGGGGAUGAGGGUGUGUGAACUACAAGAAGGAUCUUGUUCAAACCCUCGCUUGCUGAUUUAUGUCCAAGCCAAUGGAGAAAGGCUUUUGGAACCGCGAUGCUUCUGGAAAAAAAAAAAGGCAGUGGGAACACUGUGGGAUUGGUGGUGCUGCUCAGCAAACAGAAAGAGGAAAAGGAGAGCGAUUUCUCAUUCUGUUUCUUAACUCCAAACAUGACCCAAGGUUUUCAUAAACUUACUGCUCAGGUUUCAGGAAACUGCAAAUGAAACUGCAUUCCUCUGUUUUUUUUUUUUUUUUUCGUUUUGAGAUGUAAUAAAAUAUCAUCACCUACAAGUCUGCGGCCUUUA